rnacentral:rRNA from 1 species
GGGGAAUCAGGGUUCGAUUCCGGAGAGGGAGCCUGAGAAAUGGCUACCACAUCCAAGGGAGGCAACAGGCGCGCAAAUUACCCAAUCCAGACACUGGGAGGUGGCUACGAAAAAUACUGGGUCGUUUCCCUAUGGGAUGCGACACCGGAAUGAGCACAAUUUAAGACAUUUGUCGAGUAACAACUGGAGGGCAAGUCUGGUGCCAGCAGCCGCGGUAAUUCCAGCUCCAGCAGCGAGUGUGAAUGUUGCUGCAGUUAAAACGCUCGUAGUUGAAUGAUGCGCAACGAGGCACUGAGCGGACCUCCUCUCACUAGUAAACUGAAUGCUAUGACUCGGUUGUCCAAACUCCGUUUGGUCGACGUUCAUGUGUAGACAGGGUGAAGGUCGGUCUGCCAGCAAGUGCCUCCUUGCGGAUAGUCGUAAGAAUGCUGUGUGGCCUUGAGUGGUUGUGCAGUGUGUCUUGCGGAUUGUGCCUUGAGUAAAUCAGAGUGCUCAGAGCAGGCAGCGGCCUGAAUGUAAUAGCAUGGAACGAACAAAUGUGACAACAAGUGUGCUGCAUCACAGCCGCGGUUGGCUCUGUCGAUUGCGGUGCGUGGGUAGCACACAGCACCAACCUACAAGACGGAUGUUGGUUUCCGUAUUGUGGUGAUGAUUGAGAGGGGCGGUUGGGGGCAUUAGUAUUUGGCCGCGAGAGGUGAAAUUCUUGGACCGGCCAAGGACUAACAAAUGCAAAGGCAUUUGCCAAGACCGUUCCCGGUUGAUCAAGAGCGAUAGUGAGAGGUUCGAAGACGAUCAGAUACCGUCCUAGUUCUCACCGUAAACGAUGCCGACCCGGGGAUCAGUUCUGAGCUACAAU